rnacentral:rRNA from 1 species
UGCCAGACUCCUACGGGAGGCAGCAGUGGGGGAUAUUGCACAAUGGGGGGAACCCUGAUGCAGCGACGCCGCGUGGGUGAAGGAGCGUUUCGGCACGUAAAGCCCUAUCAGCAGGGAAGAAAAUGACGGUACCUGACUAAGAAGCCCCGGCUAACUACGUGCCAGCAGCCGCGGUAAUACGUAGGGGGCAAGCGUUAUCCGGAUUUACUGGGUGUAAAGGGAGCGUAGACGGCGGCGCAAGUCCGGAGUGAAAGCCCGCGGCCCAACCGUGGGACUGCUCUGGAAACUGUGCGGCUUGAGUGCGGGAGGGGCAGGCGGAAUUCCUGGUGUAGCGGUGAAAUGCGUAGAUAUCAGGAGGAACACCGGUGGCGAAGGCGGCCUGCUGGACUGCAACUGACGUUGAGGCCCGAAAGCGUGGGGAGCAAACAGGAUUAGAUACCCCUGUA